UCUUCAUUCAUGAUUCUUAUAUAUCUAUUAACUCGGUCCCACCCUGCCAUCCCAUCCUGCUAACUCCCCCAUGUCAUUUGCCCUGUUCGAGGAGCAUUACUGAUUAUUCAAACAUCAAUCUUGCUAUAGUGAUAGAGUCGAUGACGGAUAAUUAGACAAUUUAAAAAAAAAAAAAAAUUAUAAAUAAAAACCACAACAAUUAAUCCCACCCUUGCCACAAUAUACUGUCACCUCACCUCCUAUCAUUGACCUUGGCCAAAGAGCAUUAUUCUUCAAUCAUUUCUAUCAUCCACCUGAACAAAGAGAUUGAAUAAUGGAUCCCAAUGUCUAAUCCACGGCAUUGUUCAAUCAAUAUUGCUACAGCGAUAGAGUUAAUGAUAACUCAAUGACAAAGGGACACGUAUCAAUACAUAAUGAGACAGUUUGGAAAAAUAAUAAUAAUAAUAAUAAUAAAAGGGGGAAAGAACAACCAAUCCCACCCUAUCACAACACUCAGUCAUCUUACCUCUUGCUAUUGACCUUAUCCAAGGAACAUUAUUCUUGUUCCAUAUGUGUGCAAGCUCUUUGACGAGGCCUUCCAAAGAUAGGUCCGUACGUGUGGCUGUGUCUGAGUUUGAGAAAUGGAUUCAUAAAUGCUCUUUCGUUGCUGAAAAAUCACACUCCCAUGUUAAUAUGCUCCCUAGUGCCAUGCUCAGCAGAUGCACAUGAGGCACGGCGUUCAUUAGGGCGGAUUGAAUCGAAUCUUCUAGCAGAAAACAAA
rnacentral:lncRNA from 1 species